GCGCUGCUGCUUUUCCCUCCCACUCCUUCAGUGCGACAGCUUCAGAGCUGAUGGAGAGACAGAGAGCACGCAACUGGAAAAAAUCAGACAUGGAAUUCAUGGAUUAACUGGUCACCAAUUGUUUCAGCAUUGCGUAUUGAAUAAUACAACCUUCUUCCACUGCCGUGAAAUGUCAACAGCUGCUCUCCCACUAGAUAGGGCGUAGCUUUCCACAGACGUGGAAACAUCGCUGUGGUCCAUCUCUAUUUACUGCAAGCAGAAGGGUCAAGACAGAAAACAUAGAGGCUUUUAGUAGGAGAGGGCAGACAUGCUUUAUCAUAUCAUUGAGCUACAAUUCUGGCCUACAGCAGAGAUACAGCCUGGUUUCCAUUAAGAGCAAGGCCUCUGGACCCAGGCUUCCUGGGCUUGCUUCCUGAUCCCAUCUUUUACUAAUUGUAUCGCCACAGAAAGAAAGGCUCCAGAUUUAUGUUUCCUGGUAUUGCUGCUAUUGGUAUUACUGUCAUUAUUACUAUUAUCACCAUCAUCAUCAUCAUUACUAUUAUUAUUAUUAUUAUUAUUUUACAAUUGAACUACAUUGGUGAAUAUUUAAUGUCCAUCUACUGAAAUAGCUACAGUGCAAGACGGAGAGAGGCCUUCAUGCAUGGUGUGCAUUUGCCACCUAGUGACCACACUGAGGGAGAAGGAACAUGGACCAUCCACCCAGUCUUCCAAACAACAUCCCUCACCCAUAGUUGAAACUUUGGAUUCAGACCCUUCUCUGACACUUCUGACAAUAAGUUUGGUGACUCAUGCUCUGGAGGAAGAAAGUGAAGAAGAGCAAGACUACUUCUCUGCAGCAAACUCUGAUGUUCUCUGUUCUUUCCUUACCACUGUUGUCAUGAGCAGCAUUUUUUCAUAGGUGCAUUGUUAUCCUUGCCAUGAGAGCAGACAAAAAUGAAAAAUAGUUGCCAAGUAACCAGAACUGCUGGUAUGAAACUUUGGGAAAUAUCACUGAGAUGUGCUUUGGUAUUUUAUUUCUGUGAACAAACCAAUUGUCUUGGACUUUCACAGUACUCUUUUCUAUGUCUCACCCUUUACCACAAAGGUCCUUAAGUCCUUUGACAUGCAUAGUGUGAGGGAUUCUGGCACACAUUCUAGAACCUCGCAAAGUGGGAGGGGCCUGCUAUCUGCUUUAUCAUCUUCAUUCCUGAAGUUUACUUUAAUUCUGAUUAGUUUGGCAUAAGGUCAUUUGUUGUAUGUAGUCAUCUAAGUUAUGUAAUGCCUGAUUCUGAGUAGCAGAGUAUUUAUCAUAAAUUCCUUGAUUUGCAUUGGUACCUAAUCAAUGAGGAGAAGUUAGUAUAGUUAAUUUCCAUACUUCCCUCUUGUUCUCAUGUUUGCCUCAUCCAAGUGUUUCUGAGAUGCUGAACCUCCUCCAGAAAAGGUAAUGCUAAAAUUUCCUGUUCCCAAAAGGUGCUGCAGAACUCACUUCUAGUUGAAGUUUGAGUGUUUAAUUCACUUUUGUAAUCUCAUUAUUUGACUGAAGUAUUGUUAAAGUGAAUUUUGAAUGUUUGAAAUUUCCUAUGCAGAUUUAACAAAGAGAGAAAAUGACAAAACCAGAGGUAAGACACUCAGAAAUGAUUAUUUUUUCUGGCAUAUGAUGAGCCUGCCUGGCCUUUUAGUACUUACACAUAUUUUUACCUGCUAUCUAUUUUGAACUCAGUUGUGUACUUUUUCUGGAAACAGAGAGGAAGUCUGACUAGCAUUGCUUGAUCUUUUUGCCCUAACUGCUACUGUGCCAACAUUAUAGAAGGAGCACCCUGAUUGCAAAGGAUAAUGACAUAAUACUGCCUGAAGAGAGAAAGGAAGAGUAAAUCUCGAUAUGAAGUUGGGAAAAAUUACUUAAUAUAUCCUAAAUUGCAUAAAGACAUCCUGGAAUGCAAGCAGUUUAUUCAGUAAUGAAGUAAAUGUUUCUUUUGAGCCAUAGUGUUAAUAAUAGGCCUUGCUCACACAGUAAGCAAGAUGGCUGGCAUUCUCAAGGCUCAGAAGAAGCAGAUGUAGGUUGAAAGUGCACUGUCAGAUAGUGUGGCCCUAGCAAUGUUACAGUUCUUAGCAAGCACUCACUUCUCCUCUAACCCACAGGUGUUCUCAGCAUUGACUGGAUUUUGGAGUCAGGGAGGGGAGCUCCGAAAACAUGGCAUUUCUGGAAUGUGUUCCUAGCAGUAGGGGCAGUACCUAUAUAUUUGCAAACCAACUCAAUGGUUCUGUGUACAUCUCUACAUGAACACUUCUGCUAUUAGGUGAUACAAAAUUAAGAUAGAAAAAUAGAAGUGAACUAGUGUUGGGCUCAGGGAACAAGGCUAACAUGAUCAUCUCAGCGUUUGUUCUGCCACUAGGUCAAUGAGCAGUCUCACUAAAGUCACUCUAGACUUUUCCUAGUUUCCAAAUGAGGGUAUAGUAUCUUUAUCUCCAAGUGUUCUAACUUUGGUAUUGCCACAUUCAGACAAAAUGACAUCAACCUUAUUGGUUAACUUUGUGAGUACCUUAGACUUUAUGCAGAAGCCAGGGUCAAUAAUAAUGUUAAAUUUCAUUCAUGUUAUUUGAAAAUUGAGGGUGGUUGGACUGCAGAUAUAGUUAUGUAGUAGAGCCCUUGCUUGGCAAAUUAUAGUCUCUGGGUUCAUUCUCCAGCAUUGUGAAAAUGUGGUUGUGAGUCAAGCUUUAUAUAUUUUAGACCCUCCCAGAAAAGAAAUUUAGGUAUUAGGUAACAUAGAAUAAAGAGGUCAACUUCUUAAUG